CUCAGUUUUACGUUGGCUUCCGGUCUAGCAUUAUCCGAUAGCAAGACGUGGUGGUAGUGUGGUCUUUUUGUCAUUUUCAACUAACUAGCGAUAGCAAUUUAUAAUAUUAUACAUAUUAUCAACCUUAGUUACAUAAUAGUUUUAGUUUGUUAUAUUUAUACAACAUUGUAGUUUUGAGUUCAACACGCUUUAAGGUGCGAACAUGAUUACUGUUCAUCUCCCGUUCCGGCGGCAGUCGAUCUUUCUUUAGAUCAAACUGAAGAACUCCGAAAGGAGGUGAAGCGCUUGAAGAAGCAAGUGGAAGAGCUGUCUGUCCGUCACAGUUUUUGCUUGGGGCGUUUUGCUGCAUCUGACGAUGACAUACGGUUCUUUACUAGGUAAGACAGGAAAUUACCAGAUGCUUUAAUAUCAUUAUUAUAAGAUGACAUAUCAAGAAGACAUGGUGUGAUUUUUACAUUUCGGUUUGUGACCUACAGUCAUCUCAUGGCGUUCUGGAGACUCAUUGAGCCUGCAACCAACAGAAUGGUUCGUGUGACAAGGGCAAAAGCAGCUACAAGAAGUGGUAGCAACAGGCAAUGCAUCUGGUCAAUCCCUAAUGUCGGCUGAUGAGGUAAGGAAGACGCAGUCCAUUGCUCGUCUGAGGGUCCACGUUGAGGGUAUCAUCCGCAGGGUGAAGCAACACAAACUGUUUGAUGCUGUCAUCCCUCUUUCAAUCACAGGAAGCAUAAACCAGCUAUACACUGUUGCUUGCCUUCUUGUCAACUACCAGAAUGGGCCCUUGGUAAAAGCAUGGGCAAUGGAUUAAAGACUUUGUAUGGGAUGGAUACAUUUUGAUUGGCAGAGAAUCCUAUGUAAAUUAAAUGUAUUUGCUAUGUAUGUUUUUGUAAUCGAGUAACAGAAGCAUUUCUUUCACAAUGCUAAUGUAAAAACUGUAAUGCAGCAAUGUCAAUAAGUAAUUUUGAUGCCGUUUUAAUGUACACUACUAAUGUAAACAUGAAAAUAACUUUGAUACAGUUUCUGUAAACAUGUAAAUAACUGUGAUACAGUGUUUCUGUAAACAAGAAAAUAUAAAUAACUUUCAUAAAGCUAAGCUUGUAAAGUGCACCACUAAUGUAAAGAUGUAAAUAACUUUGAUGCAGCUGAGCGCCACUAACGUAAACAUGUAAAUAACUGUGAUACAGCUUGUAAGGUAUAGUUCACCCAAAAAUGAAAAUUCUGUCAUCAUUUAUGGAUAAUCUUAAGACCAUCUAAGUGUAUUCAACUGUGUAUUCUGCUUUGAGAGACCAUGAAUAUGAACUGAAAUGUAUGUAGUUACCAAUUGUAGUGAACUUAAACCCAUUUUUGUCUAAAAGUAAGGUUUGAGUUUACUUUAGGUUUUGAGAGAUAGUAUCUUAAAGGUGUGUUUUAAUUUAUAUUGUUGAUGUCUAAAAAAUUGCACAGUUGAGUACACUUACAUGUUCUCAAGUUUAUCAUAGGAGGUACUAAAGAAGAAAUUUCAGUACAUUUCAUUAAAAAAAAAUGGACAAUGACAGAAAUGACAAAAUGUCAAUUAAAAGACCCCGAAUUAUCGAGCAUUUGCAUAAACAAUUACUUAUUUAG